CUUUGCCUUGGUGUUUUGACUUAGCCCUAUUGGAUUGUUCGCCUGAUUAUUGUGUUUUGGAUUUUGACCCCCUGCAUGUGUUUUCGGACUACGUUUUGGCCUAUCCCUUUUUGGACUGUUCACCAUUCUGGUAUGAUCCUGUUUGUUGUCUUUUUAAGCUCUCUGGAACUGACCCCUGCCAGUUCUUUGACGACGACCUUGGAUCCUGUAAAUAUCAGCAGACGAUUCUCCACAAGGGGAAAGUGUUGGCACUCAAAUAGCUUUUAGUGCUUUUUCACAGCAGUGCUUUGCAUCAAUGACUCUCUGAAUCCUUUUUAACUCAACUUGAGCGCGCAGGACUUCAGUCUUCAGUGCCCCCUAGGUCCAGUUAUCUCAAAAAAGCUGUAAAUGUAUGCCUGUGAGGCAGAAGGUUUAAAAAGUGCAGCAAAAUAGAGCCAUCAAUAAGCUUGAG